UGAGUGAAUGAGUGAUCCAGCGAAAAAAA
rnacentral:piRNA from 1 species